rnacentral:lncRNA from 1 species
GCUGGAGUCAGAAGUUUUAGGCGAAUCCCAGGCGCGCCAAGGAAAGUGCUACAAAAGCCAUCCAUCUUGCAAGCGUUGGUGCCGAGGCGCAACGCUGAGAACGCAAAUACUAAAGGGCGCUGUUCUUUCCUCGUGGAGCUCACAGUCCGCUGGGGAGACCGUGAGAUGACAGCAGAGAAACUAGCGCGAUCAGUAGUACUCAGCGCAAGGACAGCGAGCAGAGAAGGCAAACCUAGUGCUUGCUAAGGAAGACUUCACAGAGGAGUCACACCUUAAAAAAAAAAGGAGGGGUUAUUCCUGCUUUUGCCGUGCUGUGAUCCAGGGCAGAGUUUCUCGUCAACCAGUAAAACAUCCAGUAACACAGCCAAUGGAAAUAAAUGAAUGGGUCUCUGUUUAUAGUGAAGAUUCUUUCGUUC